rnacentral:tRNA from 1 species
GUUCCCGUAGUUGAGAACAACGAUGGUUUUUCAAGCCAUAGUCCUUGGGGUUUAGGCCAAGCGGGAAUA